rnacentral:rRNA from 1 species
UACGAAGGGAGCUAGCGUUGUUCGGAAUUACUGGGCGUAAAGGGCGCGUAGGCGGCUUCGUUAGUUGGGCGUGAAAUGCCUGGGCUCAACCCAGGAAUUGCGCUCAAUACUGUGAGGCUCGAGUGUGGGAGAGGAUAGUGGAAUUCCCAGUGUAGAGGUGAAAUUCGUAGAUAUUGGGAAGAACACCAGCGGCGAAGGCGGCUAUCUGGACCACAACUGACGCUGAGGCGCGAAAGCGUGGGGAGCAAACAGG